rnacentral:rRNA from 1 species
CGGCACGGGUGAGUAACACGUAUCCAACCUGCCGUCUACUCUUGGACAGCCUUCUGAAAGGAAGAUUAAUACAAGAUGGCAUCAUGAGUUCACAUGUUCACAUGAUUAAAGGGUAUUCCGGUAGACGAUGGGGAUGCGUUCCAUUAGAUAGUAGGCGGGGUAACGGCCCACCUAGUCUUCGAUGGAUAGGGGUUCUGAGAGGAAGGUCCCCCACAUUGGAACUGAGACACGGUCCAA